AUUGGAAUGGGAAAUCAGCUGCAAGAAUAUUUAUGACAGUCAGUGCUGACAAGAAAACACAAAAACCAUUUAGACAUGAAGUCAGAACUACUGGUAAUACCAGAAUCUUUCUCAAAACGUUCCACCAAAGGAAAGGAAAACAAAAUAUACAAACCCCCAUAAGCAGUAAUAUCAAAGCAUUAAAGACAUUUGAAAUGGGCUACUGCAUUUUCAUGCUGUCUUGCUUACAGCUCCACAGCUCCUCCCAAGAUAACUCGGGCUGGCUGGCAAACAAGAAUUUGAUGCUGGGGGCUUUUCCUCCCGGUGAUGGAUGCAGUGCAUGGCAGCAGCAGUACUCCCACCUAGGAUUUGAGAUUUCCAUUCGACACACAGUAAGCACGACGCCCUGCACUUUUUGUUUCUAUCCAGAAAGAAGAAAGGGAGCAAGGAACACUGGAACCCAACAGAACUGUUGGGACAACACAGCAAAGGGAAGAUGCAGUGUAAGAAAAGAAACAAAUGGAAGAGGGCAGAUACACAGGGAAGCAGGGCUGAGCACUGUGGAGUGGCGUACAGCAGGAUCAAGGAGAUUGUGAACCUGUACAAACUGCGGUGCUUGAGAACUACGGGUGUGUGCAACUGCUGAAUCACAGCCUGAAGCACUGAUUGAUCACCUGAGGCGAGCACUGAGUCAGCCAUGGAGCACAGGUGAAGGCGAUUCAGCUGUGUGAUGGAAGGGCUGGAGCCUGGCUGCACCUCUCCUGGACCCCCCUGGACAGCCAGUGGGAAAGGAUCUGCUGGAGAUCCCUCCUCUGGAGUUUUGCAGUGAGCCCAGGAUGCAGAUAUCAAGGACUUUUUCCAAUUCCUUUCCUGACUGGACAGAGAUCAGGCACACCAGGACUGGAGGAGGCUGCUGGUUACAGUGACUGAAUAGUAUGUGGUACUGUGUGACAGGAUCAUCUUAAGGAAAGGAUCCCUUUUCUCUCUCCCUCAGCCACCUGAUCUGGAGAUAUGAACUGUUUGCCCAUCUCGCAAGAUUCUCUUCCUCCCUUUGAGGCAAGUCAGUAUGAGAAGAAUGAAGAAGAAGAUUAUGUGAAAUGCUUGUCUAAUUAAGAACUUAUCUUGAAAGCCUGAGGUGAACAUUCACGUUCUCAACCCACACUGUGAAUAAGAUACACAUUUGCUAUCAGUUAGCGAAAAGCUCUUAAGAACUUGACUGACUGAAUACUUGUGUGUACUGACUUUUCUUAUUUUAGCUGACAUUCUAUGAGGAAAAUGAUGCUCUGCUGUUCUCCUUGCUUCUUUCUAUCAAGUCUGUAGUUUGAACUAUCUCCUCCUCAGAGCUAAUUUUUGAAGGAAUCAAACAAUCCUCUUGGUACAUUUCAGAAUUAGAAGUCUCAGCCACCAAAUUAGCCUAGUUUGGACCUUUUGGGGAGCACUCCUGCUUCACUAAGAUGAUGCUCUAUGCAUGGUACCAUUAAUUUCUAGUGAUAUUUCUGGCGAUCUUCUGGCAACUAUUGAAGAUAUCUGUAUUAUGAUAGGUAGAGUGAAUACCUAUAUCGGAGAAAUCUAUAUUAUAGUAAGUACAGCAGAAGACUAAAGAAUUGUUAGGAAGCAUGGUUCUCAUUUUCAAAGCAUAUUUUAAUUUCAGCUUGCAGCUGAGCAAAAGCAGCAACAGCAAAAUAACUGAGCGGAGGCAGCAUUUCUAGUAGUAGCAAAAUUAACUUGAAAACUUUACUAAGCAGCUUGCAAUACAAAGCCUGUGAGAAUUUUCAUUUACAUGUUAUGUACUGCUAAUACCAAAUCUUAACUAACUGUUCAUACUUGAGCUUGAUUUUUAUUCCACUCUAUGAACUGCUUCUUUAAUGGAACAAAGUAAUGCUGUAAGAUGAUUAGUUAGUCCUAUUCACAGCGAUGACUCGCUAUAUCCAGGAGCUAUGGAACUCUGCAGCACAUCACAGCAACAAUUACUGCUAUAUUUAUAAAGAGACAUCUUCAGCUUUGACAUUCCUAAGUUGAGUACUUCUUUGACAAAAGUACUAUUUAAGGAGAAUACACAAGAGAUGAGAGCAUGUGUGGCAGCAGUGCAGUUGCUUCAUCCAGAUCUUAAAAACAUUUAAGGCAAAUUACACUGACAGUGGUGAAACUCAGUUGAUCCUCCCAUUACAACAGAGGCAAAGAUCACUGCUUCUUGCAGGAAGGCUGCUGCCAAAAAUGCUACCAACUUCAUGCUAUUGAUGUCCCACCAUCUAGGUAUUUUAUCUGGCAUUUAUAGUCAUUAGAGAAUGUGUUAUCUCCUUACCAGAAGAAUUUGUUGACAUAAUUCUAAGCCUGCAUUUAUAAAGGCUUCUGGGCACUAAAAGUCUUCAGCUGCAGGUGCACAAAAUUUUCACAUCUGCAUACUCAGAAAAAUGACAUGAUACAAACUAACUGUGAACAUUGCAAGUUAUCUAAGCAAUUCUAGAAGUUAGAUUUUAAUGCAAAUGUGGAACCCAUUCUGCAAUACAGCAUCUAAUUAGAGACCACAAACCUAGAUUCUUGAAAAAGACUGACUCCAAAUCUGACAUAUGCUUUGCAUCUAAAGGAAGAAUUUAUUCAGUGCAACACUUGCAUGGAAAAAACUAACGAGAAAGUUCAGUAACUUCCACUGAAGUGAAAAAAACAUACACAGUAUUCAGUAUCAAAUUUUAAAACACCUGCUUGCCUAUAUAUUAUACGACAUCAUGAUGAAAGUCUUAUUGUGAAGCCUUUAUCUUCGAAUUGAGAAUUAGCACAAUAAAUUUUCCUUUUUUUGUUGUUGUUGUCUUAAUGGAAGUACUGUACUUUAAUCAAUCAUGUAAUGAUUCAACGCACUACACAGCAGUAUUAUUUCUCAUCAAAAAAAUGCUUACUUGUGCUGAGUUUAUAUAUCUGGGAGAGUGUACAUGGCCAUUUAAGCCAGUUUCAACUAAUCAAUCAGAAUUUUGUACCAGAAAUACCUACUGGCAAACAUUCAUGAUAGCUAAAGAGCCUCUCCUCCUGCCAAAAGCAAGGUGUUACAGACUUCACAUUAAGAACUGAGAAAAUAUACGCUGAGAUGUUCAAGAGCAAGAAUCAGACAGAUUGUGGGUGGUCCUCAGUUCACCUGAGCCAAGGCAGACAAAAUUCUGCAAAAUGGAAGAGCAACCAGGCAAUUUCACUUCAGAACCCCCC